ACUCUCCAAAAAAAUACAUACUGUUCCAUUCCAAGAUCCCCAAUUUCUCAGCCUUAUUCCUGCGAUUCCAACUUCCAAAUGAAGAUCUGCAACAAAGGUUCGUUAAUCGAAUCAAUUUUGCAAUCCCAGUUCAUCAGGGGCUGAAGAAUUGAAGAGCUCUUGAGUAAAGAAUCUCAGUAAAGAAUGAACCCUUCGGACACUCGAACCAACCCGCGACGACGAAUGAAUUUUGACCCGUUUAAUUUUAAAUGUAAUUAGUGACUCAUGUACGUAUAUUCUUUGUAAUUUUUUGACGUGUUCAAUUGUAAUCCAAUGAAUUUUGACCCGUUUCAUUUGAAAGCAAUGUAUUUUUACCUUGUUUGAAGUGGUUCAUUUUUAUUCAACAAUUAUGACUU
rnacentral:lncRNA from 1 species